rnacentral:rRNA from 3 species
GGCUCAGGACGAACGCUGGCGGCGUGCUUAACACAUGCAAGUCGAACGGUGAUGUCAGAGCUUGCUCUGGCGGAUCAGUGGCGAACGGGUGAGUAACACGUGAGUAACCUGCCCCCGACUCUGGGAUAACUGCUAGAAAUGGUAGCUAAUACCGGAUAUGACGACUGGCCGCAUGGUCUGGUCGUGGAAAGAAUUUCGGUUGGGGAUGGACUCGCGGCCUAUCAGGUUGUUGGUGAGGUAAUGGCUCACCAAGCCUACGACGGGUAGCCGGCCUGAGAGGGUGACCGGCCACACUGGGACUGAGACACGGCCCAGACUCCUACGGGAGGCAGCAGUGGGGAAUAUUGCACAAUGGGCGCAAGCCUGAUGCAGCAACGCCGCGUGAGGGAUGACGGCCUUCGGGUUGUAAACCUCUUUUAGUAGGGAAGAAGCGAAAGUGAC